rfam:Lepisosteus oculatus linkage group LG9, whole genome shotgun sequence.
UCCAGCAGCCAUAUCACCCUGCAACUCACAACUGGCAACCCACUGAAGCUUAGCUGGUGUGAGCCUGGUCAGUACCUGGAUGGGAGACCUCCCGGGUAAAACUAUGGUUGCUGCUGGAA